rnacentral:rRNA from 1 species
UGUGGUUAUUAUAGCAAAGAGGAUACACCUGUUCCCAUUCCGAACACAGAAGUUAAGCUCUUUAGCGCCGAUAGUACUUGGUGGGAAGCCGCCUGGGAGAGUAGGACGUAGCCGCGU